rnacentral:tRNA from 1 species
GCCGGGGUGGUGGAAUUGGCAGACACGCAUGGUUGAGGGCCAUGUGCUUAACGGCAUGCAGGUUCAAAUCCUGUCCCCGGCAUCA